rnacentral:rRNA from 1 species
GACGAACGCUGGCGGCGUGCUUAACACAUGCAAGUCGAACGGAAAGGCCCUGCUUGCAGGGUACUCGAGUGGCGAACGGGUGAGUAACACGUGGGUGAUCUGCCCUGCACUUCGGGAUAAGCCUGGGAAACUGGGUCUAAUACCGGAUAGGAGCCAUUUUUAGUGUGAUGGUUGGAAAGUUUUUUCGGUGUAGGAUGAGCUCGCGGCCUAUCAGCUUGUUGGUGGGGUAAUGGCCUACCAAGGCGGCGACGGGUAGCCGGCCUGAGAGGGUGGACGGCCACAUUGGGACUGAGAUACGGCCCAGACUCCUACGGGAGGCAGCAGUGGGGAAUAUUGCACAAUGGGCGCAAGCCUGAUGCAGCGACGCCGCGUGGGGGAUGACGGCCUUCGGGUUGUAAACUCGUUUCGCUAGGGACGAAGCUUUUUGUGACGGUACCUAGAUAAGAAGCACCGGCUAACUACGUG